rnacentral:rRNA from 1 species
GUCAAAGUUGGCAUGUGAUACCUUUUCGGAAAGCCCAAAGAGAGCCCUCCGACGAAAGAAGCAGGACAAUGGAACUUUUCCAUUGACUUUUUGUCGACCCCAAAUUUUGACCUUUAAGUACUUUUUCGGGCAUUUUCGUGAUUUGGGCUAUAUUACGGACCCAAUAUUAGUUAUUCAAGCAUUGUUUUCGAAUUUUUUCAUGUAUCAAAGCUCGUUAAGACAAGAUGGGGUAUCCCUACAUAGCGGGUGGGACCCGCGGCGAAUGGUUCAUCAAGUUUUCAAAAAAGAAUAUAUACGAUUGCAUUGCAUAUACUAACGGAUGCGAUCAUACCAGCACUAAUGCACCGGAUCCCAUCAGAACUCCGCAGUUAAGCGUGCUUGGGCGAGGGUAGUAACUAGGAUGGGUGACCUCCCAGGAAGUCCUCGUGUUGCAUCCCUCUUUUUUUUUUUUUUUUUUUGGUUAAAACUUUAUGACUCCAUAACUUGUACACAG